UGGCGGCAGGCCUAACACAUGCGAGUCGAGCGGAAACGAGUUAUCUGAACCUUCGGGGAACGAUAACGGCGUCGAGCGGCGGACGGGUGAGUAAUGCCUGGGAAAUUGCCCUGAUGUGGGGGAUAACCAUUGGAAACGAUGGCUAAUACCGCAUAAUAGCUUCGGCUCAAAGAGGGGGACCUUCGGGCCUCUCGCGUCAGGAUAUGCCCAGGUGGGAUUAGCUAGUUGGUGAGGUAAAGGCUCACCAAGGCAACGAUCCCUAGCUGGUCUGAGAGGAUGAUCAGCCACACUGGAACUGAGACACGGUCCAGACUCCUACGGGAGGCAGCAGUGGGGAAUAUUGCACAAUGGGCGCAAGCCUGAUGCAGCCAUGCCGCGUGUAUGAAGAAGGCCUUCGGGUUGUAAAGUACUUUCAGCAGUGAGGAAGGCGGAUACUUUAAUAGCGUAUUCGUUUGACGUUAGCUGCAGAAGAAGCACCGGCUAA
rnacentral:rRNA from 1 species